rnacentral:tRNA from 1 species
GCCGAGGUGGUGGAAUCUGGUAGACACGCCAUCUUGAGGGGGUGGUGAGCGUAAGCUCGUCGGGGUUCAAAUCCCCGCCUCGGCACCA